CCGAGUUGAUUCGGGCUCCGGCCCGAUCCUCCCA
rnacentral:rRNA from 1 species